rnacentral:rRNA from 1 species
UACGAAGGGGGCUAGCGUUGCUCGGAAUCACUGGGCGUAAAGCGCACGUAGGCGGAUUGCUAAGUCAGGGGUGAAAUCCUGGAGCUCAACUCCAGAACUGCCUUUGAUACUGGCGACCUUGUGUCCGGGAGAGGUGAGUGGAACUGCGAGUGUAGAGGUGAAAUUCGUAGAUAUUAGGAAGAACACCAGUGGCGAAGGCGGCUCACUGGCCCGAAACUGACGCUGAUGUACGAAAGCGUGGGGAGCAAACAGG